rnacentral:rRNA from 1 species
GAUUAACGCUGGCGGCGUGCAUAACACAUGCAAGUCGAACGAUGAAACUUUCUUGACCUCUUCGGGUAGAAUUAAAGCGGUUUAGAAGCGAUCGGGAACGUAACACUUGAGUACCCUGCAUUACACAAGGGGCUAGCCUAUGGAAACGUAGAAUACUACCCUAUAAAACCAUAAAAGCACAUGUAAUUAUGGUCAAAGUGAUAGGGGUGUAUGAUGGACUUGCGUCUGAUGAGCUAGUUGGUGAGAUAACAGCCCACCAAGGCAACGAUCAGUAGCCGGCAUUAGAGAGUGGACAGCGCCAAGGGGACUGAGACACGGACCAGACGCCUACGGGAGGCAGCAGUGGGGAAUUUUGCACAGUGGGGGAGACCCGGAUACGGCGGCGCCGCGGUAUUAAGAAGGCCUUCGGGUUGUAAAAAUCUUCUGUAUAGGAGGAAAAUGACAGUACUAGUCGAAUAAGGGCCGGCUAAUUACGUG